ensembl:snRNA U2 U2 spliceosomal RNA
AUCGCUUCUCAGCCUUUUGGCUAAGAUCAAGUGUAGUAUCUGUUCUUAUCAGUAUAAUUAUAAUGCUCUUUUCAGUUCUGUCAGUUUUGUUUCAUGUAUUUCAUGCAUUCUCAAUGGUGGUUUCUCCCAAGUGAGCAAAAUUAUUCUGGGGAAAUGAAAACAAGUUUCUCAUAUAUUAUAAUAGUC